GGUGUCCAGGAGGGGCUGUAGACAGUAAGUGCUCCAAGGGGUAGAGGAGUUGCUUUGGGGUGAGACAACUAUUCCAAAGAGCCAACUUCCAAAGAAGGGAGUUUGAGGAGGCUCAUAAAAAAGAAGUGAUUUUGGGCCGGGGAUUUAGCUCAGUGGUGCCACCCCCUGCCUCACAAGUGCAAGGUCCUGAGUUCAAUCCUCGGUACCAAAAAAAAAAAAAGUGAUUUCACUCUAUAGAUGACAAAAGGGGGCUUUGCAGGUUGGACACUGGGAAACGUGGCACGAGUUCUCUUCCAGGACUGAGGAGCUAGGUCUGUGUCCCAGUCUCAGAGACUGAGUUGACAAGGUAGGUCCAGGGCCUGCAGAAGCCUCAUCUCAAAGGAGCACCGUAGUUGGCAUCUCAAAGCACUGCACUGGGGAGCGUAACUUGGCAAUAGCCUGCAGAAUGUCUGGGACAGAGUGACGCUUAGAAGAAUAAAAUAGUAAGCAGGCAACCACAUGACUGGUAGGCUACAGAGGAGGUUGCCAGGGGCAGCUGCUACCACAUCUGCCCCUAACCAUUCACUCAGGAGUACCUGACCCAUCAAGCACAGCUCUACCGUCUGUGAAACUGACUCAGUUCUUCCCCAGAAAUAACACCCUCUCAGGCCCCAGCCCUGUGUCACCCUUAGACCACAGACUGUAUUUCAGCCACCUUUCUCCUGCUUCCUUACUCCGAACUAUACAUACCUAGGAGAAUUUGCAUUCAUCAGAUACAAGCAUCAAACACCGUUCAUUUGAUUUACAGAACAAGAGGAUUCGAGAGUAAUUUGUCACUUAUAAUUGUUAAUAUUAACUAAAAGAAGUCUUUCAAAUGGAGGCUCUUCUAGGGACUAUAAGAUGUGAUUAGAAUGAUAGGCCAUUUGGCGAGUGACCAUCAAUGCUGUGCCGUGCUGACCAAGAGUCUUUCUGCAAGGGAACUGAAUUUAUUUAAUUCUCUCUCUCUGUGAGCCUUUGAAUGUAAGCUCAAGGACAGAUCCAGAUGAGGCAAUGGUCUUCUAAAAGGCUUCAAUGAUACCUCUAGGGACCAGUCUCUUUUAGGACACAGGGCCUGAGAACAUACCAGAGUCCUGGAUGCUGCCAUUUCUGUAGAGGAACAGAGUUGGCCUUCAAAGCCAAGAGUUGUGUAGGACAGAGCAGUGGCCUUCCCUCUGUUUACCAAAAUGGUGGGACCCAGUGAAGGAAAUUCCUUCUCUUCACACGCUUGCAGCUAGUCCACAAAGGGGAGUGGGGAGGACCACGUAAGAGUAGUUUUACAGGACACACACAUGCCCACCCUGAUCCCUCCCCAGGUCUCUGCUGAUGUAGGAUCUGCUCUUUACCCACUAACCAGCUGGUGGAACAGAUGAGGAUGAGGCUGCUAACACUAGCCUUCCCAAGUACCAUCCACGUUUAAGCAGUGGCUUUAGGAAAGAUGGCAACAUAAAUGUGCAUCAGGGUCACCUAGAGAGCUGGCUGAAGCAAAGAUUUCUGGGCCCUGGGUUGUUACAUAAUUUUCAGGAUCCAGUGUAAAAAUAAGAGUCCUCUUGUUGGAAAAUUAAGCCAAACCCAAGUCCCUUCCAAGUAUGCUGCCUUCCAAGAUGGCACAAGUUGUGCCCCAUGAGGCUAGCCGUGGAGGGGACCCACCUGUGGGGAUCCUGAUUCAGUGCAUUUCAGGCAGGGUUUGGAAUGUGCUUGACUGCUAAGUUCCCAGGCUACACUGAUGCUGUUGCUCCUAGAACAAUGCACUGAGGACCACAGCCUCAACUCCAAGUGCUACAAGGAACUCCCGUGGGGGAAAAUCAGCCACUUUGGAAGGGGGUGGCUGAUCUGGGGAAUGGCUGAGGAGAGAUUUUUCAGCACAUUUUGAGUCACACCAGAGAGACAGCUGGCCACUUUCUCCAGACAAGCAGAGGCCACCCCUGGGGUUUCUGGCCAAUGGAGAAGAUAUUUUCUCUUCAAUUUCUUUGAUCUCAGUGGUUAUACUGACUUCAAAAUCUGGAGUAAUCCCAAGACAACCUAUUUGGGAUAACUCGGUCCACAGGAAAUAGUUCUGCUUAAAAUUUCCUGUUUUUAAUAGUUCCAAUGAUGCCAACUGGUUUCCAGGGUGAGGUGAAACUGGCUGCAGCAGUGGGUCAGUGGCCCUGGGAGGUAAGGAGGGACCAGAGUGCUCUGGGGCCACGAAGGGCAACAGAACAUCUUGGAACUGAGGUCACAAUGGCUGGAAGGCCAGGAGCCAGCAGGUGGCCCCCAGGGACCUGGGAUGGGGUGGGGUGGGGGAGCAGGCUGGGUGGGGCCUCUUCCUCCUGUGGAACUAUUUGCUCUCACAGCACCUGCUAUCCUCCCGGGAGCUUCAGAAGGAGCCUGGCCUGGCCACUCACAGCCUAGAGCUGGCAAGCAGGCCCUCCCGGGAGCCAGGAAGCUCAGGUCACAUCUUCGAUGAGGACACGCUGUCUUUUCCCUGUGAAUACCAGGAUGGAAGGAAAGUUGCAACCCAACAAAACCCACCUCUUCUCAGAAGUCCUCAGGAAAUCCCGGGUCUUUUUCUAAAGCCUAUGUCAAAUUCCAACAUGGGUCCAUGAAAACCAGUUCUAGCAAGCUCGCUCUAUCCUGCCCUAGGAGAUGUCCAAAACCAUGGGCUGCUUCCCCUUUUGUUUGGCUUUGUGGCUUGUUAUCUGGACAGAAAAAUCAGUAUUUUGGGAUUCCUGGAAUGUUGACAUGCCUCUCAAACCCCUCAAGAGAUUUGAGGCAGAAACACUGUUUUGAUUUUACGACAUACUUCAUUUACAAAGACAGAACAUCCAGCUCCUUGGAUAAAUUAAACAUCAUACACUCAAGAAUAUAAGAAGAAUUCAUCCAACAGCUGCUGACAGUCAGGAAGAACCUUCAAAAAAUUGUGAAAUCUCCCCCACCCCCACUUCCCAGUCUCAGGACUCCCAGUCCUGCACCCCACCCCAUCCACCACGCUCUCAGAACCUACCCUCAGGGUGAUUUUGCUUUUAUAGCCAGACUUUAAAGGCUGUUUGUACUUUAGUCCCUCUUAUUUUCAUUUUAAUCCUAACCUCUGAUGGGGGCGGGGGUUUGCAGGCAUUCGGCACAGGAAGAGAAGUUGGAAAGGGGACAUGAUACUAACCCUGAACACAUCUCAUGAUCAUUGGGUAAUGAGAGGCAGGUAAAGGAUGUCAGGUUUUAUUCUUCACCACCAACCCUUGCAUGCUCUGAGAAAAGCAUCAUUAUUAACACAUAACCCAGCCAUUAGGGGCAUAGAAAGAAGCCAUCGGGUGAAAAGACCCCAGUGCAGGCUGAAACAUUAACAGCAACAUCUGCAUGCACAAGUUCCCUUUGCCUUCACCCCUUUCCUAGGGAAGAAGAGCCCACAAGGCCAUGGAAGAGCCAGGAAGGGGAAAAGCAAUCUGAAGUCAGCAUGCCAAUACUCUUCACUGCUUAGUGGUAGAAGAUAGCAGCCUUAGCAAGAAAUAAAGAAACAGCAGCACCUUAACAUUUAAGAGGAGAAAGGCUGACGACCUUAGGCAGCCUCUUGGUUUAAAAGUUGUGUCCUGCAUCUUAGCUGCCUUGUUUUCACAUUUGCACUCUAGGACUGGGCAGAUAUUCAUUAGAUUAUCUAGUUAAUCUUGACACAGCCCAGAGAUGUCUGUCGAAUGUUGACUGUCGAAAGAACAGACAAAAAUUUAUAACGCUGCAAUCAUUUAAUUAGCAACACUGAAGAAUAAGAAUAAUUAAUACUAAGAUGAA